UUUAUUGAGAGUUUGAUCCUGGCUCAGGACGAACGCUGGCGGCGUGCCUAAUACAUGCAAGUCGAGCGCGGGAAGCAAACAGAUCUCUUCGGAGUGACGUUUGUGGAACGAGCGGCGGACGGGUGAGUAACACGUGGGCAACCUGCCUGUAAGACUGGGAUAACUCCGGGAAACCGGGGCUAAUACCGGAUAACCUUUCGCACCGCAUGGUGCGGAAGUAAAAGAUGGUUCUGCCAUCACUUACAGAUGGGCCCGCGGCGCAUUAGCUAGUUGGUAAGGUAAUGGCUUACCAAGGCCUCGAUGCGUAGCC
rnacentral:rRNA from 1 species